CAAAAUCCCACUAGCCCCUCCACCCCCAACACUCCCUAGACAGACCCUCCCUCGCUCCCCCAUCAAUAGUCCCCCCCCCUGUUUCCUCCAUUCCACCAUUAUCAGGGAGGAAGUGGCCCAGAGUCGCCCCUCCUCUCCCGCUCUCUUGUUCCUACUGGCUGCUGGUGAGGGGCGGCGGUGACCCGGGAGGACAGAACACGACCGCAAGACCCCAGCACCACCAGCCCACACCGACAGAGAGAGAGAGAGAACCAUGAAGACCCCCGCCAACGUCGCCCUGCUCCUCCUCAUCGCUUCCUGCGGCGUCUUCAUCCCAGUAUCAACCAAUGGCAAUACGACCACAGCAACGACUGAAGCCAAAGUGAUCACCACGGUCCCCUCGUCCACGGCCACAAGCGGGACGACCCCCUCCGCCGGGACCACCAAGCCCAGCACGGUCCAAGCCACGGUAACGACCGGCAACCAUUCCUCCCCAGCGCCGACAACCACGCCUUCCAAUUAUACCGCGGCGCCCGUCUCCGUGACAACAGAUAACAAAACGUCGGAGCUCCUCAACAGCACCGGAGCCGUGUCCGGGAACGCCAGCACGGGAGGGCAGCAGAACUCCUCCUCCGAGGCGUCCACCCCCAAGGACCUGCCGAAAGGUCUCAAUAUGACCAAACCCACCAAUGAACCGAAUAUAAUGAUGACCAGCAAGGCAACCACGCUCCCCCCCCCCAACCCGGGAAAAAGCCCCUCUGCCAACACUGUUCUUCCGACGAGGGGCCAGACGCAGUCGAAGGCCGUUGAGGAGCCUGAAAAGGGGAAGACGACGCUCGCAAAGUCAGAUAAGAAGCUCCUGUGGAUCCUGCUCCCCGUUCUGGGCAUCGCCGUGGCCGCCGUCUUCUUCCUGCUCAAAUUCAAGUGCAAGAACGUCCACAACCACAUGGACACCAUCGACAACGGCACAGAGAACGCGUCUUUCCAAAGCCGCCCUGAAAGCACGAAGGACGGCGUCAUGCUGCUGGGGGUCCGAGCAUCCGGGGCCGGAGAGAAUGCAGCCACAGGAUCAAGAUAAUGGAAGGAAGGAGGAGAAGGUUUCCUCUUGGCCGAUGGAAUCAGUGGAUGGACGUAAGGACGGUCGGCGACGGCUCCUCACUCCUGGAUAAAAGAUUAUGAUUUGUUUUUAUUGUCAUUUUUGUACACGACGAGAUGAUUAUGAAGUGAUCAGAAAACAGAAGAUGUAAGAUAUGAGAGCGUUGGAGUUCACCAUGUAUAUUCGAUCCCGAUUUUUUCCGGGUUUUCAGAAAACACAAGUCCUGCUCCCCCCUGCACUGAGCCAGCUGAUUCACUCUGUCAUUACUACUGUGGGUUCAACCUCACCCUCACCCCAGCCCCUAUCUACUGAUGGUUACAUGAGGGAAGGGAGGUUUAUAUGAAGCCUAAUGCAUUCACUGGAGAAAUUAAAUUCUGCUCUUGCUUUUCUAAAUUAAAGGACAAAUCCGGUGUAAAAUGGAUCUGGGAUAUGUUUAGUAUGAUAACGAGUUGGAAUGUUCGCUUGGGAGCAAAAAUGCGCUUAUAGACGCAUUCUUAAAUUGGCUGUUUUUAGCCGAUUCUACCAAAACCCUAAAAACUUCGAACGAUGGGGGCAUUUGUUAUGGUAAAAACGAAAUCGCUACUUUGAACCACUUAAAAGGCUACAAGUAGCCCGACACUUCUUUAGUAGUAUAAUAAGGGUCUUAACAUAUAAAAUGAGGCGUUGAUAACUUUGUAAGUGCACAAAUUGUUUAUUAAAACGACAUUUUAUACACACAUUAGCUGUGUUCGAAAUCGUUCCCUUUACACUUGUUCCCUAUUCCCUAUAUAGUGUACAUGAUUUAGUGCACCACUGCACUAUAUAGGGAAUAGGGAACGAGAAUUCGGACACUACGCUGAACAUUUCUAAACGUCAUUUGCGUCAGUAAAUGCGCCGGGUAUUUGUGUGACGCAGACAGAUGCGCCCACAUCAGGUAAACAUACCAGGCAGUCACGAGGAAAGCUGGAGGUUGUAUUGAUGUUGAAUGUUACAUUUCCUUGUUCAAGUAUUUUUUUUAUUCAUUUUGAAUGUUAAAUAUUCUAUGUUAAAUCCCAAAUAAAUUGUUGACAUUUCUAAACGAAAGCCGGAGACUCCAUCAUUAAAUGUAUUCGUUUUCGCGGUUAUUCAGCUUCUUCUUCUCCUCCGGAAAAACACGACCGCAUUGCAUUGUGGUAUACGGGAGUAACAUGUAGGGAACAUCGUAUGUACCCUAUUUUAAGUCCACUAUAUAGUGCCCUAUAUAGUGGACCACUGAGAAUUCGAACACCCUACAAAAUGGCGUGCACCCUAUUUAGUGGACUACAUCCAUGAUAGGGAACGAUUUCGAACACAGAUAAUAACAUCAGUAGUUCACCCGUCGACGCCAUCUUGUUUUCAAGACUCGAUAAGUAGAUUGGCGAACACAUGUCCAUGGCGAACACAGGCUUGCGUGUUGCUGACGGAUGUCACAAUCUCUGUGUUCGUCAAUCUACCUAUCGAGUCUUAAAAACAAGAUGAACGUUCCAACUUGUUAGCAUACCAAACAUAUCCCAAAACCGGAUUCUCCUUUAACAACAUAAUUAUCUCCGAAAUCUGCGAUAAUUUUCUGUAGCCUAAAUUUUUAUUUAAGUUAAUUUUGAAAUUUCCGAAAUAAAUAGCAGAUCCCUAAAACUUUAUCUCAGAAUUCUGAGAUUAGUAUGUUGUUUAUUCAGAAACACAUGAGCUUUAUUUUCUUGAGUGAACGUAUUAUGCAACCCUUAUGCAAAGCAAUUCAUACAUGUGUUGUACACUGUGAUUAUUAGUUGUUUGCUAGCUUUUAUUUACUUUAAUUUCUGAUAUUAGGCUACAAAUGUACAUUUGUUGUUAGUUUUUUGUUGACUGAUUCAGCUUUCUUAUGCUUUGUAAACAUGACAACAAUAUUAGAAAUGGAAAAAGAAGUACUCUCUUGUAUUUUGUCCAUCUGAAAAAACCUAUUGGUGGAAAUCAGUGUCAACAUACAAUCACACACCAAAGUAUCCAUGAUUAGGUUGUUUAUUUUAUUUGACCAACAAACUGAUCUUCGUUUAAAGUUGAUAAUUGUUCCGUUAGUUAUUUAGUUGUUCCUUUAAUAAAUUCGACAUUUCUGGAGGGAAUCCUGCUUCUGCUCCGUCAUUCGUCGGUUCAUGACUUUCGCCACUAGAGGGAGCCAACGGCUCGUUCCUUGGUGCGAUUCUAGAAGGCCUUUCAUUAGAUUUAGCGACGCAUCGGAACAGAAUAGCUCCUUUCCAUAUGUGUGUGCCGGUGCAUGCAUGUUUGCAUCUACCUUGGUCUGUGCGUGCGUGCAUGCAUGCAUGUGUGAGUGAGUAGCAUGCAUAUGCAUUUGUGUGCUCGCAUUUGUGUGUGUGUGAAUGUGAUUGCAUGCGACCGCUUAGCAGAACAGAGUAGUUUGACUGAAUUCGAUCUGCUGACCCACCCACUCCACCUUUUUUA
ensembl:lncRNA